GUGCUACUACAACCGCACAGUUCAGGUAAUAAGUUUUAUGCCAGGCAUAGACGCCUGUAUUUGGCGAGUCUGAGUUUAUAA
rfam:Bacillus sp. MRMR6 scaffold_1, whole genome shotgun sequence.